UUUAAUGAGAGUUUGAUCCUGGCUCAGGACGAACGCUGGCGGCGUGCCUAAUACAUGCAAGUAGAACGCUGAGGUUUGGUGUUUACACUAGACUGAUGAGUUGCGAACGGGUGAGUAACGCGUAGGUAACCUGCCUCAUAGCGGGGGAUAACUAUUGGAAACGAUAGCUAAUACCGCAUAAGAGUAAUUAACACAUGUUAGUUAUUUAAAAGGAGCAAUUGCUUCACUGUGAGAUGGACCUGCGUUGUAUUAGCUAGUUGGUGAGGUAAAGGCUCACCAAGGCGACGAUACAUAGCCGACCUGAGAGGGUGAUCGGCCACACUGGGACUGAGACACGGCCCAGACUCCUACGGGAGGCAGCAGUAGGGAAUCUUCGGCAAUGGACGGAAGUCU
rnacentral:rRNA from 1 species